rnacentral:lncRNA from 1 species
UCUUGUGUCGGUUAGACCAACAGAUCAACUUCUACUCAAAGCCCCAUCAUAAUCUUUCACUACAUACUUGCAAUUUCAGAUUGCUUGCACCUUAUUCUUGCUGUUUUUACUUCCAUUUCUUGCAGGAAUAGACCCGAGUGGUCAGGUCAACUUGGUUUUUUUUUUUUGAAAGCGGGUCAACUUGGUUUUGGUUAGGCUGAUAACAUCUCAAGGGGUUGGUUCAACGGUUUCCAGGCU